GUGGGGAAUAUUGGACAAUGGGCGAAAGCCUGAUCCAGCCAUGCCGCGUGUGUGAAGAAGGUCUUCGGAUUGUAAAGCACUUUAAGUUGGGAGGAAGGGUAGUAACCUAAUACGUUGCUACUUUGACGUUACCGACAGAAUAAGCACCGGCUAACUUCGUGCCAGCAGCCGCGGUAAUACGAAGGGUGAAAGCGUUAAUCGGAAUUACUGGGAGUAAAGCGCGCGUAGGUGGUUCAGUAAGUUGGAAGUGAAAUCCCCGGGCUCAACCUGGGAACUGCUUUCAAAACUGCUGAGCUAGAGUACGGUAGAGGGUGGUGGAAUUUCCUGUGUAGCGGUGAAAUGCGUAGAUAUAGGAAGGAACACCAGUGGCGAAGGCGACCACCUGGACUGAUACUGACACUGAGGUGCGAAAGCGUGGGGAGCAAACAGGAUUAGAAACCCGGGUAGUCC
rnacentral:rRNA from 1 species